GAUGAACGCUGGCGGCGUGCCUAAUACAUGCAAGUCGAGCGAACAGACGAGGAGCUUGCUCCUCUGACGUUAGCGGCGGACGGGUGAGUAACACGUGGAUAACCUACCUAUAAGACUGGGAUAACUUCGGGACACCGGAGCUAAUACCGGAUAAUAUAUUGAACCGCAUGGUUCAAUAGUGAAAGACGGUUUUGCUGGCACUUAUAGAUGGAUCCGCGCCGCAUGAGCUAGUUGGUAAGGUAACGGCGUACCAAGGCAACGAGGCGUAGCCGACCGGAGAGGGUGAUAGGCCACAUGGGAACUGAGACACGGUCCAGACUCCUACGGGAGGCAGCAGUAGGGAAUCUGCGGCAAUGGGCGAAAGCUUGACGGAGCAACGGCGAGUGAGUGAUGAAGGUCUUCGGAUCGUAAAACUCGGUUAUUAGGGAAGAACAAAUGUGUAAGUAACUAUGCACGUCUUGACGGUACCUAAUCAGAAAGCCACGGCUAACUACGUG
rnacentral:rRNA from 1 species